rnacentral:rRNA from 1 species
AUUCCUACGGGAGGCAGCAGUGCGGAAUUUUAGAUAAUGGAGGGAACUCUGAUCUAGCGACGCCGCGUGCAGGAAGAAGGUCUUCGGAUUGUAAACUGCUGUGGUAAGGGAAAAAUGCUAUGUAGAGUGGAAAGCUACAUAGAGGGAUGGUACCUUACUAGAAAGCCCCGGCUAACUACGUGCCAGCAGCCGCGGUAAUACGUAGGGGGCGAGCGUUACCCGGAAUCACUGGGCGUAAAGGGAGCGUAGGUGGCCUAACAUGUCAACUGUGAAAACCCGGAGCUCAACUCCGGACUUGCAGUUGAAACUGGUAGGCUUGAGGACGGUAGAGGAAGACGGAACUGCCAGUGUAGGGGUAAAAUCCUUAGAUAUUGGCGGGAACGCCGGUGACGAAGGUGGUUUUCUGGGCCGGUUCUGACACUGAUGCUCGAAAGCCAGGGGAGCGAACGGGAUUAGAUACCCCGGUAGUCCUGGCCCUAAACGAUGUUCCCUGGGUGUGGGGAGCGGAAAGCCCUCCGUGCUAAAGCUAACGCGAUAAGUGAACCGCCUGGGGAGUACGCCCGCAAGGGUGAAACUCAAAGGAAUUGACGGAAU